AAUAUUUCAAACACCAGUGGCGUAGGUAAUAUUCGAAAAAACUAAUUAGGUAUCUUCCAGGCAUUGAUUAUCAGUAAGUAGUGUGUAUAAUCAUUGAUUAUACUAUAAUCAAUAGUAUAAUGAAUGCUCCAGGAAAUGGUGUACCUACCUACCUCAACCUGGAUCUUUCUAAUUUAAACAAUUGAUCAAAUGAUAUAAUAAAUACCUAUUUUCCAUUGAGGCUUUUUAAUCAAGAACCGACUUACGUUUAGCGGGUACUAGACUACUAUAGUCUAUGCGUAAGCGGAGCACUUACAAGACUCGAAACCCGUACCAGGCGGGCUAUUUCAGGCAAAUGCACUGCCGCCAAAGUGCCAGACUAGAUCAUCGCAAGUACGGGCCACUCAGGCCUUAAGGUCGCUUUUAUGCACGCGUUUUGGGUCGCUUGCCGACAAAAAUACGAGUAUUUGUUGCGACGAAAAUCGACAGAGGGUUACAUAUUUAAUAUUGUCAGUUUUGACAUUACGUAUUAAAAACGUCAAAAAUUUGCCGUGGCAACUUUUCUGCCAAAAAAUCGCCACGGCUAUUUCAGCUUUUGAUUGGUCGAUUUAAAAAAAAUUAAACUAUUUGAUUCGUCCAAAACAAUCGAGGUGAAUUGUCAAAGGUAUUGUUAAGAAAGUGAACGGUUUGACAGGAACAUAUAUAGUGCCAAGAGCAGUAAGUGAUCAUCCAACUCGAAAUGAUAAAGUAUUUCAUAUUUUUCAAUCACUUACACAAACAUGACAAUAAAUUGGUCGUCAUUCUUUUUUUAAUGUAGCGAAUAUUCUAGAAAUCCCGAUAGACAUCAAGGAGCCAUGAAAGAUUAGUCAUCAGCAGAGCCGGAUAAACGGGAGGGGUAAAUUUCGAUUUGCCCAUCUCAAGGGACUAGAUUGUCGUUGCGAUGCGUUUUCAAGAAUAUCCAAUUCGCAACACCUCCCUGGGCUGAGAGGGUGUUUACCUGUUAAAACCAGAGUGUUGUCAACUCAUGAACGAAAUGUAAUUGACAGUGUUACAUAUAACAUAUAAGAUCUAAAACAAAAACUUGGUAUGCAAAUGUCAAUGUGGUAAAUUUAGUGGCAAAUUUAUAAGAUAGGGUUUUUUUAUGGUUAAAUUUUUAAAACUUUCACGGGAGAGAACCCCCGGACUCCCCAUUUAUGUGAGGGUACUCUGUACCCCCGCACCCGGCGGAAUUCGAUACCUAACCUGCUAAUCAUCAAUUGUACUGACAUUUGCCCUCUCCAAGAUAUCAUCCUGGAUGCGCUACUGAUGGUCAUCGGCGAUAAGAAACUUAGAAACUAAGAGUGAGGUGAGGUAUAUUCUUUCCGGGAAAUACGACGUGUUUGUUCUAUAACAUUCGGAAACGUUCGGGAGCACUUGGGAACCUGGAAAGGUUGUUGUUUGCUAUAUAAGCAAAUCGAAUUGUUUUGAGUUAGUUCCAUAAUCGAUGCCGAUAGUGAAAUACAAGGUGAAAUAUUAGUGAUACAUAGGUCGUGCUAGGACGUGUUAUGUUAUAAAUUGUGAGUGAUAAAUACCUACUAAUUUAGUUUAUAAAUUAAUCAAUUUCAAGACUGUUAUAAAUUUAUUGUUAAUGAAUUGUAAAUAAAUAAAUCCCGUAAUUAGAUAUAUUACAUUAUGCAAUUACUUUGAUCAGAUGCCAUAUGAACUAAUGCAGAAUUCGAAACAUGGAACAUUUGUAAUAAUAAAGAUAAGGUUUCACUAAUUGUAUUUUAUUUACUGUUUUCUUUCUCGAUUUCGGGCUGUGAGUCGAUAGCGAAAACAUUAAAUAAAACACUUAUGCCCGUU